rnacentral:rRNA from 1 species
AUGAAAAUUAGAGAUCAUGUGAUGGACUCUGCUACUAAAAGCAAUAGUAGUAAUAACUGUCAUACUCCUUACGAAUUUGUAGAGGCACAACCUGAACUUUGUAUGAUGAAAGAAUUAAAUAUUGAGAACCCUAAAGAGGAAACUGUGUGUUUAAUGGAACCAACUUCCAACGUUAUAAAGCAAAAGAGCCAUCACAACUCUGGAACACCUGUAAUUUCUAUUACUAUAGAGACUCGUAGUUAUCUUGGCUUGUGUGGUAUUGGUGCAAGAAUUAGUGUUUUUUCCCUUCUCUUUAUCAAAUUAAUUUCUAAUUAA